AUUGAACGCUGGCGGCAGGCCUAACACAUGCAAGUCGAGCGAGCGGCGGGCGGGUGAUUCAUGUGUGGGGAUCUGCCCGUUAGAGGGGGCUAACUCCUUGAAACGCUGGCUAAUCCCCCCUACUCUCUGAUGAACCCCUAUGGGAUUAGCUCGUAGGUAAGGUAAUGGCUUACCUAGGCGACGAUCCCUAGCUGGUCUGAGAGGAUGAUCAGCCACACUGGGACUGGGACACGGCCCAGACUCCUACGGGAGGCAGCAGUGGGGAAUAUUGGACAAUGGGCGCAAGCCUGAUGCAGCCAUGCCGCGUGUAUGAAGAAGGCCCUCGGGUUGUAAAGUACUUUCAGUGGGGAGGCGUUACCGACAGAAGAAGCACCGGCUAACUCCGUGCCAGCAGCCGCGGUAAUAC
rnacentral:rRNA from 1 species